CUUUUUAAAAUCCUGAUUUCUGGGCCUCAUCCUCCAGAAAUUCUGUUUCUUUGUUACUAAUUUUGAUCAGGUGCAUGUAAUUGAGUAGAUUGGAAACCCGCGAGAACAUUGUGAACAUCUUGACCACGCCCUUACUUUGCCUCGUGGGAUCUGGCUAUAAAAUAAAGACUCGGCUUGCAGGCUGCGGCGCUGUCUCUCCAUCCAAGAGCGGCAUCCCAUCUAGCUCCAGCUUUAUUCUCUU